GUGCCUACGGGACGCAGCAGUGAGGAAUAUUGGUCAAUGGGCUUACGCCUGAACCAGCCAAGUCGCGUGAGGGAUGAAGGUACAGAGUAUCGUAAACCUCUUUUGUCAGGGAACAAAGGCGGGGACGUGUCCCCGGAUGAGUGUACCUGAAGAAAAAGCAUCGGCUAACUCCGUGCCAGCAGCCGCGGUAAUACGGAGGAUGCGAGCGUUAUCCGGAUUUAUUGGGUUUAAAGGGUGCGCAGGCGGUCUGUUAAGUCAGCGGUCAAAGCCCGGGGCUCAACCCCGGCCCGCCG
rnacentral:rRNA from 1 species